CCUACGGGUGGCAGCAGUGAGGAAUAUUGGUCAAUGGACGAGAGUCUGAACCAGCCAAGUAGCGUGAAGGAUGACUGCCCUAUGGGUUGUAAACUUCUUUUAUAUGGGAAUAAAAUGUUCCACGUGUGGGUUUUUGUAUGUACCAUAUGAAUAAGGAUCGGCUAACUCCGUGCCAGCAGCCGCGGUAAUACGGAGGAUCCGAGCGUUAUCCGGGUUUAUUGGGUUUAAAGGGAGCGUAGGUGGGUUGUUAAGUCAGGUGUGAAAGUUUGCGGCUCAACCGUAAAAUUGCAGUUGAAACUGGCAGUCUUGAGUACAGGAGAGGUAGGCGGAAUUCGUGGUGUAGCGGUGAAAUGCUUAGAUAUCACGAAGAACUCCGAUUGCGAAGGCAGCUCACUGGAGUGCAACUGACACUGAGGCUCGAAAGUGUGGGUAUCAAACAGGAUUAGAUACCCCUGUAGUC
rnacentral:rRNA from 1 species